rnacentral:lncRNA from 1 species
UCUUGACAAUUUUUCUAAUGAGGGCAUUGAGCUUGUCCCGCUCGGCUCUGAGCCAGUUGUGCAUGGCCACCGUGUAGGUGAAGUGACACAGCACAAAGGCGUUUAUGAGCCGAAGCAGGUUGUCCUCCUUCAGGCCACGACGUCUGUUCGUGACCCUUCGCACGAGGUGAAAAGCCUUGUCGGUCUUUGCAAUGAUUUUGCGUAACGCAGUACCGUUGCCGCCGUGUGAUUCUAU